CACACACACACACACACACAUAACAUGGUCAACACUUUUGCUGCUGUAUAAACUAGGAUUUUGUGUGUGUGAGUUUUUCUAGUUUUAUAUUUGUAGGAAGAAACUAAACAGAACUUUACAAUUCCCACUUUUCCAGGUUUCUAACCCUUACCCAUCUAACCACAAAGUCACGGAGAGGCAGAGGUCCACGCAGACAUAAGUACACUUCUGAUUCUCACCGUUACCAAAACAGGAGGCUUACGAUACGAGCGUGAUGAAACCGUUUGUAUUUGGGCCGAUUUCUCAGCUCAUUCUGUUUCAUUUGUUCAGCGCUUUGGUCCUGUGGCUGAGCUGUAUCAAUAAAGUUAGUAUGGUGUCAAGGGUCAAAGGUCAUUUCUCUGUUGUUUAUUCUUUAUUCUCCUUCUGGCUCCUGUUGGGAAUCUGGUCACACCGGAGUUCCCUCUGGGUGACGGGAAAGGGAUUUUCUAUCUUAUGUUCUACUGUCCUGUUCCAUCAGAACCACUUAAAAGGGCUGCUGGGAAGGAAGAGUCCAGGACUGGAUCAGGAAUUCUGGGAAUACUGACAGACCUAAAACAUACUGCAAUGGCCAGCGGGGGGCGCCACAGACCAGAAGAGACCUCCAGCGUGUUGUAGGAUAACUGUGGUGUUGAACUUCUCACCAGCAAUGAUGUCGUGCAGAAACAGCAAACCCAGUUGAUGCCCCUACAGGUGGACACAUGACCCAGACAUCCAUGGUCCAGGAGACCUCCCUGGAGACGGAUAAUCCAACCAGAACUCCUAUGAAGGGUGGACCUGGAUCCUGGUCAACAUCUGGAGCAGGAAUCCUUCCGACCUGAGACAUCUGGAGAAUUUUGUCCCUCUGGAGAGGACAAGAAGACCUGUGGACAGGUGAGACAUUCCACAGUUCUAGUCCAGGUGAGUUCUGGUGACUUUAAUGUUUAAGUUGUGGGUUUUACUCAUUAGAACCAUUGUUUGGAUCUGGGUCUCAGCCAGGUACAUUCAUGUGUUCAUUCCUUCAUGUGAAGCACGUAUGAACUUCAUACAAAAUGUUUAAACUUGUUUUUAUAACCAAGGUUCAAAAUCAGUCAAUCUAACACACACACACACACAAAUGCACGCACAGCACAGCACACACACACACACACAAUGAUGACAUCACACCAGUGUGUGCAUCAGGACUCUGAGGAGAUCAAUAAUUAAACACACCUAAUGGAGCUGCAGCAGAGGGUGUGUGUGUGUGUGUGUGUGUGUGUGUGUGUGUGUGUGUGUGUGUGUGUGUGUGUGUGUGUGUGUGUGUGUGUGUGUGUGUGUGUGUGUACCAGAACAUCUGUUUAAUCUGUGGAGAUUAAUAAAGAACCCAAUCAGCUGUUGGACCGAGUAAGGGUUAAGAAUCAGGUCCAGAACCCUAAUCUCAACCUUCUGGCUCCGCCUCCUUCUGGAGCUGAAAGGUGAAGCCAUGAAAGCCACACUGCCUUACCGAUCAGAUGUUUUUACACAUCUGGUAGAAAUAAUUUCACAUAGACAUCUGAUAAUUCAGCAAAGACAGAAGUACAGCUGGAUUUUUAAAUUCACAUCCCUCACACUGGUUUACAUGGAGGGGGCGGGACUUAAAGAUGGUGCUGCAACCCACCACCAGGGAGAGUUUGGUUUGUUUUCAUUUGACUCCCAGGUUCUGAUUGGAUGUUUGCAUUAGAGAAAAUAAAGUAGCUGAAAAUCACAAACUGAUAAAACUUCAAACUAAACUCAACGACAGCUUCCUGGAGGAACAGGAAGUUUGUUUUGUUGUGAAACUUGCAGCUCGUUCUGGUUUUUGUUUAGUUUUUACCUCACUUAGAACCUGGAUCAGCUGGUUCUCAGGUGUCAGCGUUAGAACAAGAGCAGAACCCGGUUUUAGUUCAGGAGUUCAGGUCAGUCUGGACAGAAACAGAAUUCAUCUGAGCCUGUUUAAACCAAAUGGAAGUUCUACUCAUCCACUUCCUGUUUCACACCUGCCAGGCUUUUAAUUUGAAGGAUCAGUCAGGCAGAACAUAUGGCUCAGGUUUGUGUGUGUGUGUGUGUGUGCGUGUGCGUGUGUGUGUGUGUGUGUGUGUGUGUGGUCACACAGGAAUCAUGUUUCAGGUGAAUCGUUCUGAAUCCUGGACCUUCCGACACCAGAACCCCCCACUGGGUCACACCUGUCUCACCUGCGUUCUUCUCACUUCACCUGAUGGUUGGUUGAGGUGUUUGAUCAUGAAAGGGUGACUCAUCAGAUUCCAGUAAAAUGAGUAAAACAUAAGAAAAGAUUUUAUUUUUCCUGUGAAUGGGAUGAAGCCGCCUCUCCCAUCUGACUGGAUGGAGAUGGGAAGACCUGGAAAACUCCUGCAGGUAUCCGCUCUGAGUUACAGUUAGUCAAACAGGAAGUUCCCCUGUGGUUCGGCUUCUUCUCACGUGACCCCAACGCACCGACGGCCUUCGCUGCAGCCGGCUCCACAACAGAGCUUCAGUUUGUGAGAAUGGAGCUUUAUUCUUUCCCAUUAUUCCCAUUAUUCCCACUCAGUAACUGGGCCUUUCACACAGGAGAAAGGCUUGUUGUUCCUGGGAGGAAAACAGAUCCCAACACUGAAACGUCUCGACUCAAACCCAGUUCUGGGUCAGGUUGUAGUGGGCCCAACAGAACCAUCAAUGACCCUGCUGUUUUGUCCCUUUUCAGCCACCGUACCUGGACCUUUGGGCUGAUGUGAGUUAGGCGUUUCACCUGAAGGCUGAUGGGAAAUGUAGGACGUUCGUCUUCCUCACAAACCUGAAUCUGAUAAAUGUUUUAAUCCGAGUUUUAUCUCAGAUUUUAUAAACACAGCAUAAACCCAGUUUUAACUGGUUCCACCAGCUGGACCGGUUCCUCUCACUAGUUCUGCAACAAGAACAGAACCUAAUUCUCCUCAUACAGGAACUAAUAAAAUGUUUAAUAUCAGUGAAUGGGUCUCCAGAGGGGCGCUGCAACAGGAAGUGAAACAAACACUUUUAGGGGGGGGGGACACAUGUUUGUUUAUCAUUGAUGGUAAAUGGUCUGGAGUCCUGGAGCCCCCCAAGGAGCUUUACAACACAAUCUGUCAUUCAACCAUUCACACACUCAUGGUGAUGUCACAGCUGCCCUGUCUGUGGUUUCUAGGUCCAAAGCUAACAUGAUUGAACACAGAUCGGUUCUCCGUCGUUCUGUUGAUCCCAGCUGGUUCCACCCUGAUCCGUAGGGACCAGGUUCUGACCUCCACCAUGCAGGUUCUUGUGGGGUUCAGACGAGGCGAGGUUCUGUCUGAUAUAUUCUGCUCUGAUUCCUCUGGCUGAACUCUGCUCUGGAUCAACAAACUCAGCUGCGGUCAUGUUCAGAGUCCAGGAUCUGGAACCAGAACUUUGUCAGCUGGUCAGAAAUAAAUUUGCAUGAAUUUUUAUUAUCUGGAUUAGGUCAGUUCUUGGAUCAGACGUGUCAAGCAGACCAGAUUCAUGAUUACCCGGUUCUGUGAUCUAGUAACACGUUCUGUUAAUGUUGUUUAAUUUCACACUGAAACCCAAACCGCCGAUCUGGGUCAGAAACUCCUGAUUUAAUGUUUCUGAGCCAAAGUCUCCAAUAAGUGAUGUAAUGUUUCUACUCAGGCCCGCCCCUGCUGGUGCCUGCACCCACAGGCAGACCAGUUUCAUGUGGAUAAAAUAAAAAUUUUCAACGUUUAAAACUUACUUCCUGACUUUAUCCACUAAGGUGCUCUGAUGUUUUGACCUUUAUGGCCCUGAAACUCACCCCCGUCUUCAACAGGAACAGGAAAUAAAACAGCCGGAGAUGUUAAGUACAACUCACAAAAUAAAAGUCCGGUUUAUUGUCAAACAACAAACUCUCACAUACAUCAAAACAGGCCGUCAUAAAACAAAAAGUCGCCGACAAAAACAAAAUAAAAGGAAAAAGAAAAGAGGCUCUUUUCUUUGGCCUUUCCCUCCCAUACAAACAAACUAGUUAUGGUACAGCUAAAGUACAUACAUUAAAUUUACUGGAAUGCUCUGAGUUCAACGGCUUAACAGGUUCUGUUUUUAGCUUUUUUGUUUUUACACGUUUUUCUAGCAUCUGUUGAAAUAUCCUGACAUGGUCAACCAAGUAAAAUCUUUUUGUUGAAGAAGCACCGAUUUGGUCUGGCGAUCGCUUCGCUGC